rnacentral:rRNA from 1 species
UGAGGAAUAUUGGUCAAUGGACGCAAGUCUGAACCAGCCAUGUCGCGUGCAGGAUGACUGCCCUAUGGGUUGUAAACUGCUUUUAUACGGGAAGAAAGGUAUCUACGUGUAGAUAUUUGCCGGUACCGUACGAAUAAGCAUCGGCUAACUCCGUGCCAGCAGCCGCGGUAAUACGGAGGAUGCGAGCGUUAUCCGGAUUUAUUGGGUUUAAAGGGUGCGUAGGCGGAAUGGUAAGUCAGCGGUGAAAUACUGCAGCUCAACUGUAGAACUGCCGUUGAUACUGUCAUUCUUGAGUAUAGAUGAGGUAGGCGGAAUGAGUAGUGUAGCGGUGAAAUGCAUAGAUAUUACUCAGAACACCAAUUGCGAAGGCAGCUUACUAAACUAUAACUGACGCUGAAGCACGAAAGCGUGGGUAUCAAACAGGAUUAGAUACCCCCGUAGUC